rnacentral:rRNA from 1 species
GGGUCAGUAGGUUGGUCGUGCCACCGGUACGUACUGGUCUCACUGAUUCCUCCUUCCCGAAGAACCGUAAUGCCAUUAAUUUGGUGUUGCGGGGAAACAGGACUGUUACUUUGAAAAAAUUAGAGUGUUUAAAGCAAGCUAACGCUUGAAUACAUUAGCAUGGAAUAAUGAAAUAGGACGAUCGAUCCUAUUUUGUUGGCUUCUAGGAUUGACGUA